GACGAACGCUGGCGGCGUGCCUAAUACAUGCAAGUCGAGCGGACUUUCAAGAAGCUUGCUUUUUGAAAGUUAGCGGCGGACGGGUGAGUAACACGUGGGCAACCUGCCUGCAAGACGGGGAUAACUCCGGGAAACCGGGGCUAAUACCGGAUAAUAUCUUCCUUCGCAUGAAGGAAGGUUGAAAGGCGGCGCAAGCUGCCGCUUGCAGAUGGGCCCGCGGCGCAUUAGCUAGUUGGUGAGGUAACGGCUCACCAAGGCGACGAUGCGUAGCCGACCUGAGGGGGUGAUCGGCCCCACUGGGACUGAGACACGGCCCAGACUCCUACGGGAGGCAGCAGUAGGGAAUCUUCCGCAAUGGACGAAAGUCUGACGGAGCAACGCCGCGUGAGCGAAGAAGGUCUUCGGAUCGUAAAGCUCUGUUGUCAGGGAAGAACAAGUACCGUUCGAACAGGGCGGUACCUUGACGGUACCUGACCAGAAAGCCACGGCUAACUACGUG
rnacentral:rRNA from 1 species